rnacentral:lncRNA from 1 species
CCUCUUGUGCCUCUGAACGAAAGGCGAGUUCUUGGCAUCUUCCUCUGCGAAUAUAUUCACACAAAACAAACAGGUCAACGGAAAUUAGGGUUUCGAACUGGAAAUAAACAAAUCGGAGGGGGGCAAAAGAGCUUACCAGUGAGGCCGAUAGAGAACUUGGUGAUCAGGGUUCCGGUGAUGGCGAACCCGACGAGGAACGGCCAGUUCCGGUUCCAUUCUCGCUUGAAGAAAAUCGGCCAUGGAUCGAACUUCCUCAUUUCUCUUCUUUCCUUCAACAAUGCUCGCUCUC